rnacentral:rRNA from 1 species
CUACGGGAGGCUGCAGUAGGGAAUCUUCCACAAUGGGCGAAAGCCUGAUGGAGCAACGCCGCGUGAGUGAAGAAGGUUUUCGGAUCGUAAAGCUCUGUUGUAAGGGAAGAACAAGUACAGUAGUAACUGGCUGUACCUUGACGGUACCUUAUUAGAAAGCCACGGCUAACUACGUGCCAGCAGCCGCGGUAAUACGUAGGUGGCAAGCGUUGUCCGGAAUUAUUGGGCGUAAAGCGCGCGCAGGCGGUCCUUUAAGUCUGAUGUGAAAGCCCACGGCUCAACCGUGGAGGGUCAUUGGAAACUGGGGGACUUGAGUGCAGAAGAGGAAAGUGGAAUUCCAAGUGUAGCGGUGAUAUGCGUAGAGAUUUGGAGGAACACCAGUGGCGAAGGCGACUUUCUGGUCUGUAACUGACGCUGAGGCGCGAAAGCGUGGGGAGCAAACAGGAUUAGAUACCCUCGUAGUC